CCUGACCUGGUGCCUGCUUCCUCCCCAGUGAGUCCUCUUGUUUGAAAGUGGAGAAGCUGCAACUGCUGGCACUCCUCUGGGAGUGGAAAGAGCAUCUGAAGUGUUGUGCUGAUGAUGAGGAGCAGGUAAGUGAUCCAGCACAGUGGCUUCUGCUGACAUUGACAAAUCACUGCCCGGAGGCUGAGAAGGCUCCAUCCUACUCUCUGGAGGUGAAUCCAAGUCAGAGUGGUGGGCCAACAUCUGAUCAGUAUGACGUCUCCAGGGUUUUUCCAAUCCCACAUCCACUGCGUAGGACACGGGUCCUGUUUGCAAUGUCACCACCCCGGACAUCCACUUCUCUCCCUUCUAAGACCGCAUCUCCCCCUUCAAACUUCAUGACCUUUGAAUGGGCUUUUCAGCAAAGGUGCUCAGCACCUUGUGCUUGCUCCACAACGGAUACAACACUUGGCUUGAGCAGGUCAAGGUGAGUGCAGCAUACGGUGCAAAAACAGCAUAGCAGGGGGCUCCUUGGUCUUGGAAUGUGGGGUGUUAUGGUAGGAUAACAGGAAUGCAUCUAGCCUCUGCUUGAUUGAAGAAAACCAUUUGGAAGACUUUAGAGAAUGCUUGAAGGUCUGCACAAAGUGUUCUGCAAGACAUUUUGUGGCUGGAUGAAAGGGGGAGCAAACAUUCUUAACACAGGAAUUGUUUGGCUGUUGGCUUUCAGGAAUCUUGCAAACUUGCCAGAUUUAAACUGAGGGCCAUUGUCACUCACCAAGACUUCAUAAAGACCAUAGUGACUGCAUAACCCCCUCAUCCCCUGAAUGGUCUUUGUGGAAGUUAUGGAUUCUAUCAGAUAAACCUCUGGCCACUUGGAGUGGGCAUCCACAAUCUCCAUGUGCCUGUGUCCUUUGAAAGGAUCUGCAAAGUCCUGAUGGAACCUUUGCUAUGGUGCGCUUGGCCAACUCCAGGGAUGCAAAGGUGGACAGGGGGCUUUCUGGAUGCACUGGCAAGAAUGAGAAUCUUUGUCUUCUAUUCAAACCUUUUUUCCAAGCCAACAGAUGUAGCUGCGGGCCAAAAUUAUAUCCAUACUACCGCUUGAUGUCCUGUGUGUAAUUUGAUCAGCACACCUAGUCGCAGUUUAGGUGGGACAAUGACACCCCACAUGAGGCACCCCUGUUGCAUGGUCAGUUCAUCCU